rnacentral:rRNA from 1 species
AGGACGAACGCUGGCGGCGUGCUUAACACAUGCAAGUCGAGCGGUAAGGCCUUUCGGGGUACACGAGCGGCGAACGGGUGAGUAGCACGUGGGUGAUCUGCCCUGCACUUCGGGAUAAGCCUGGGAAACUGGGUCUAAUACCGGAUAUGACCUCCUAUCGCAUGGUGGGUGGUGGAAAGAUUUAUCGGUGCAGGAUGGGCCCGCGGCCUAUCAGCUUGUUGGUGGGGUAAUGGCCUACCAAGGCGACGACGGGUA